UUUCUCUCACAAAAAUAUUUUGUUUGCUCAUCAUCAGGCCUGCUGCCUAGGGUUUGGUUCUUUAAUUUCAACAAGAUUGUAUUGUUGUCCGCUAAUGGCUUUCCUAUUCGGAAGGGCUGGUAGGGCUUUGCUGGGAGCAUCAACAACACAAAUCAGGGGAUACUGCCAGAAAGUUUCAUCCACUGCCGAACUCGAUCGCUCAUUUCGUCGGACUAGUAUUAUGUUUGGUGCUGGGGCCGUAACGGCUUGUAAUAUCCUCUAUUUCACGGUUCACACUAAACUGAAUGAAAUCCGGGAACAGGAGCGUGAGCGUGAUAAGCAAUGGAAGUGGGACACUCGUUAUUGAAUUGUUUUUAGUAGUAUGUGUGUAUUUAUCAGCCUUUUGGUUAAGAUCCAACUGUAAUGUGUACUUAUCUAUCUAUGAAGAAGUUAAGUUGAUGUUCUACUUACAAAUUUCCUGAAGUUUAUUGGAAUGUGGAAGGAACUGAAUUUCGUUGUCAUCACAAUAUGUUUUAGUCUUGUGGUCA